UACGUAGGGUGCAAGCGUUAUCCGGAAUUAUUGGGCGUAAAGAGCUCGUAGGCGGUUUGUCGCGUCUGCUGUGAAAACUGGGGGCUCAACCCCCAGCCUGCAGUGGGUACGGGCAGACUAGAGUGCGGUAGGGGAGAUUGGAAUUCCUGGUGUAGCGGUGGAAUGCGCAGAUAUCAGGAGGAACACCGAUGGCGAAGGCAGAUCUCUGGGCCGUAACCGACGCUGAGGGGCGAAAGCAUGGGGAGCGAACAGG
rnacentral:rRNA from 1 species